rnacentral:rRNA from 1 species
AUUGAACGCUGGCGGCAGGCCUAACACAUGCAAGUCGAACGAGUGGCGGACGGGUGAGUAAUGUCUGGGAAACUGCCUGAUGGAGGGGGAUAACUACUGGAAACGGUAGCUAAUACCGCAUACCAUCGGAUGUGCCCAGAUGGGAUUAGCUAGUAGGUGGGGUAACGGCUCACCUAGGCGACGAUCCCUAGCUGGUCUGCGAGGAUGACCAGCCACACUGGAACUGAGACACGGUCCAGACUCCUACGGGAGGCAGCAGUGGGGAAUAUUGGACAAUGGGCGAAAGCCUGAUCCAGCCAUGCCGCGUGUGUGAAGAAGGCCUUCGGAUUGUAAAGCACUUUAAGUUGGGAGGCGUUACCCACAGAAUAAGCACCGGCUAACUCCGUGCCAGCAGCCGCGGUAAUUC